rnacentral:tRNA from 1 species
GCCCCUGUAGUCUAGUUCGGUCAAGGACAUCGCCCUCUCACGGCGAAAACAUGGGUUCAAAUCCCGUCGGGGGCG